rnacentral:tRNA from 1 species
AUUUCUUUAGUAUAAGUGUACAAAUGCCUUCCAAGCAUUAAGACCCUCUCGGGAAGGAAUA